rnacentral:rRNA from 1 species
ACGGAAGGCAGCAGUGGGGAAUAUUGGACAAUGGGGGAAAUCCUGAUCCAGCGACGCCGCGUGAGUGAAGAAGUAUUUCGGUAUGUAAAGCUCUAUCAGCAAGAAAGAAAAUGACGGUACUUGACUAAGAAGCCCCGGCUAACUACGUGCCAGCAGCCGCGGUAAUACGUAGGGGGCAAGCGUUAUCCGGAUUUACUGGGUGUAAAGGGAGCGUAGACGGCGAUGCAAGUCUGAAGUGAAAGCCCGGGGCUCACCCCCGGAACUGCUUUGGAAACUGUAUGGCUAGAGUGCAGGAGAGGUAUGUGGAAUUCCUAGUGUAGCGGUGAAAUGCGUAGAUAUUAGGAGGAACACCAGUGGCGAAGGCGACAUACUGGACUGUAACUGACGUUGAGGCUCGAAGGCGUGGGGAGCAAACAGGAUUAGAUACCCUGGUA